UGAGGAAUCUUGCGCAAUGGGGGAAACCCUGACGCAGUAACGCCGUGUGAGCGAUGAAGGCCUUCGGGUCGUAAAACUCUGUUUGGAGGGACGAGAAGUUGUUGGUUAAUAUCCAAGUUUCUUGACGGUACCUCCAGAGGAAGCACCGGCUAACUCCGUGCCAGCAGCCGCGGUAAUACGGAGGGUGCAAGCGUUGUUCGGAAUUACUGGGCGUAAAGGGCGUGUAGGUGGCCAAUUAAGUCAGGUGUGAAAUCCUUCCGCUUAACGGGAGAAGUGCACUUGAAACUGAUUAGCUAGAGUACGAGAGAGGAAGGUGGAAUUCCUGGUGUAGAGGUGAAAUUCAUAGAUAUCGGGAAGAACACCGGUGGCGAAGGCGGCCUUCUGGCUCGAUACUGACACUGAGACGCGAAAGCGUGGGGAGCAAACAGG
rnacentral:rRNA from 1 species